rnacentral:rRNA from 1 species
AGUGAACGCUGGCGGUAGGCCUAACACAUGCAAGUCGAACGGCAGCACAGUAAGAGCCUGCUCUUACGGGUGGCGAGUGGCGGACGGGUGAGGAAUACAUCGGAAUCUACUUUUUCGUGGGGGAUAACGUAGGAAAACUUACGCUAAUACCGCAUACGACCUACGGGUGAAAGCAGGGGAUCUUCGGACCUUGCGCGAUUGAAUGAGCCGAUGUCGGAUUAGCUAGUUGGCGGGGUAAAGGCCCACCAAGGCGACGAUCCGUAGCUGGUCUGAGAGGAUGAUCAGCCACACUGGAACUGAGACACGGUCCAGACUCCUACGGGAGGCAGCAGUGGGGAAUAUUGGACAAUGGGCGCAAGCCUGAUCCAGCCAUACCGCGUGGGUGAAGAAGGCCUUCGGGUUGUAAAGCCCUUUUGUUGGGAAAGAAAAGCAGCAGGUUAAUACCCCGCUGUUCUGACGGUACCCAAAGAAUAAGCACCGGCUAACUUCGU